AACUGGGUCUAAUACCGAAUACACCCUGCUGGUCGCAUGGCCUGGUGGGGGAAAGCUUUUGCGGUGUGGGAUGGGCCCGCGGCCUAUCAGCUUGUUGGUGGGGUGAUGGCCUACCAAGGCGACGACGGGUAGCCGGCCUGAGAGGGUGUCCGGCCACACUGGGACUGAGAUACGGCCCAGACUCCUACGGGAGGCAGCAGUGGGGAAUAUUGCACAAUGGGCGCAAGCCUGAUGCAGCGACGCCGCGUGAGGGAUGACGGCCUUCGGGUUGUAAACCUCUUUCAGUACCGACGAAGCGUAAGUGACGGUAGGUACAGAAGAAGCACCGGCCAACUACGUGCCAGCAGCCGCGGUAAUACGUAGGGUGCGAGCGUUGUCCGGAAUUACUGGGCGUAAAGAGCUCGUAGGUGGUUUGUCGCGUUGUUCGUGAAAACUCACAGCUUAACUGUGGGCGUGCGGGCGAUACGGGCAGACUGGAGUACUGCAGGGGAGACUGGAAUUCCUGGUGUAGCGGUGGAAUGCGCAGAUAUCAGGAGGAACACCGGUGGCGAAGGCGGGUCUCUGGGCAGUAACUGACGCUGAGGAGCGAAAGCGUGGGGAGCGAACAGGAUUAGAUACCCUGGUAGUCCACGCCGUAAACGGUGGGUACUAGGUGUGGGUUUCCUUCCUUGGGAUCCGUGCCGUAGCUAACGCAUUAAGUACCCCGCC
rnacentral:rRNA from 1 species